CCAACGCUGCUCUCUCUCUGCGUCUGCCCGGGGCUCCCGGCGGAUCCAAGUGUUCUCGGGGCCUGAGAAGGCCUGACCCCCCGUGGGUGGCAAGCAGAGCCCUCUUAAGGCAGCCCAGGGUGCUCAGAACCUCCUUGGAGACAGGCAGGUGCGGGGCUGCGCUUCCACCCUCCCACCCAAAGAAAUCUCUUCCCUUCUGGCUUUGUCCCAGCAAGAAGGCUUCUCGUUAACCAGCCACCUGUCCCCCAGAGAACUCCGUCUGCGCAGGGGCACUGCGUUCAAACUGCGGAGGGAUCCGAGGGAAUGAACUGGAGGACAGCACCCUGCCUCUGAGCUCAGCGCGGCCGACUUCCUCUGCACAGGGCUCGUCCCCUGGGGUGGCAGCCGCUCCAGCCCCACCUUGCUCCCUGCCCGUGAAGGCGUCCUCCUGAGGAACCUGUACGCACGCACAUCCUCUGGCCGCCCAGGUUGAACCUGGGGAUGAAGAACCUGCCGAUUCAGAGGGCCGACCACACUUUGAAGUCGUCAGGGAAAGAAACUGAGGUCCAAAGCGAUUAAGUAAUUUGCUCAAGCCCAGGAUGAGAACCAGACGAGAAAUCACGAGUCCUGUGCAGGCCUUGCGUCUUCGGGUGACUGGCCUUCCGGGCGGAUCUCUUUACUGGUGGAUCCCUGGGUGUGGAUCCCUGGGUGUGGAUCCCUAGGUGUCCCCCACACUUUCUGCACGUUCCUACCCUGACUUGCUCAUCUCGUCUCCUGUUGAGUGUGUGUGAGAGAGACAGACGAUGAUCAUGUGCAAACACGCCUGCCUAAACAUAUAUGUACUUGCAUAAAGGUGCAAAGAUAUAUGUAGAAGGAUGUUCAACAAGGAACGUGUUUAUUGCACUAGAUCCAUAUACUGGGAUUUCCUGCGACUAUGUGUUCACGGACUUCUGCAAUCAUCACCGCAGCGUGCAUUUUCAAAGUGAUACAAUUUUUAAGAGAUACUCGUAAAAAGAAAAUAAACUCUUGAUUUGAUGGCACUGCGUAUAUUUGGAUAAACCAGAUUCUACAUAAGUCUGCAGACAGCUGGAUACCAAGUCUAUCUAUAGAAGACAGAGAAAAAAGAGUUUAGAGAAAUAUAUUUAUCUUGUUGCUAGAAAUGUCUCCUCUCUUAGGAAGGCUGACAGAGAGACACUAAUUCUCGAGCAGAGAGUCCUUUCUGGAGAGCGGUGAUGCCCUGAUCGGGUUAAGAGAGCCUGAGAUGACACGGAGAGCUGGAGGGAAUGCAGAGGCUCCCGAACGUGCUGACAAACCGAAGCAGAAGCCGUGCAGGAAUAUUCUGACUCUGGUCAAAGUUUUCUGUGUGUUUUUAGGAGAAGGCUGAGAAAACACACAUCUGAAAAAUAACGUUUCAUGAAAACAUUCAGCAAAACUUACAUGUAAUCUGUGUUACUUAAAAUGAAAUCACAUUUUCUCUGAGAGUUUCCAUGAAAACCUUCCUUGACACUUCGGGCCAAGAUGGAGGCACAGGUAGACACACUGUGCCUCCUCGCACAACCAAAGGAAAGACAACAACAAUUUAAAAACAAAAAACAACCAGAGCCGACAGAAAAUUGAACUGUAUGGAAGUCUGACAACCAAGGAGUUAAAGAAGACAUCCAUCCAGACUGGUAGAGGGGCGGAGACAGGCAGCUGGGCGGGGAGGACUCGCAGCAAGGCGGUGGCCGGAGGACCGGGGCGCGCAAGGCAGCAGCUGGCGGACCCCACCAGGUGGCGGCUGGCGGAGCGGGCGGUCCCGCAUUCGCACGCAGAUGCACUGGGAGAAACUACUGGGGAGCGAUACAGACCUCGAGGCCCAGAGCUCCAGCUCCAGGGAAUGAUUGAAAACACUUGUGGGGGCUGAGGCAGCUGCAGGAGAGACUCCCAGGCUCACAGGAGAGUUUGUUGGAGACACCCACAGGGUCCUAGAACUUACACAAACCCACCCGCCCAGGAAUCAGCACCAGGAGGGCCCAUUUUGCUUGGGGGAAGCGAGGGAGGUGACUAAAAGGCGGCAGCGAGCAGAGCAAGUGGCACUGUUCCCUCUUGGACCCCUGCCCCACAUACAGUGUCACAACCCAGCAACUGGGUUGCCUUGCCCUGGUGAACACCUAAGGCUCCACCCCUCACUACGUAACAGGUGC